UUGAACUAAAGUUGAUCAAUUAAAUGUUCUUGUGUUUCCCAUAUCACCAGACAGAGGUUCUCCGAACACUGGACACCAAAGAAGAAUCAGAAAGACUGGGGAAUUCUCUUUUCAGAGGCUGGAGGAGGGCUGUCUCAGGACGAGCUAUCCCUGCUGAAGCAAAGAGUGUCUAGCUUAUGGGCCAUGUUAUUCUCCCACCUGACACCUACAGAACAGCCCAUUGAUCCUGACCUGAAGAUCUAUUUGUAUUCAACCGAGAUGAUUUCAAAGAAGAAUACCGACAAUCCAUUAGAAACACAAACUCAGCUGUUAUCCCCAAUUAAAGAGUGGAUUGCUCAGUAAAGACUGUUCAGUAAAAGUGGAAGAGUACUUUUUCCCUAACUUUUAUAGCAAUGUAAGUCCUGCAUACAUAUUGAAAGAGUAAAUAUUUUUUAUUCUA
rnacentral:lncRNA from 1 species